UACGAAGGGGGCUAACGUUGCUCGGAAUCACUGGGCGUAAAGGGUGCGUAGGCGGGUUUUUAAGUCAGGGGUGAAAUCCUGGAGCUCAACUCCAGAACUGCCUUUGAUACUGAAGAUCUUGAGUCCGGGAGAGGUGAGUGGAACUGCGAGUGUAGAGGUGAAAUUCGUAGAUAUUCGCAAGAACACCAGUGGCGAAGGCGGCUCACUGGCCCGGUACUGACGCUGAGGCACGAAAGCGUGGGGAGCAAACAGGG
rnacentral:rRNA from 1 species